rnacentral:rRNA from 1 species
UACGGAGGGUGCAAGCGUUAUCCGGAUUCACUGGGUUUAAAGGGUGCGUAGGAGGGCAGGUAAGUCAGUGGUGAAAUCUUCGAGCUUAACUCGGAAACUGCCGUUGAUACUAUCUGUCUUGAAUACCGUGGAGGUGAGCGGAAUAUGUCAUGUAGCGGUGAAAUGCUUAGAUAUGACAUAGAACACCAAUUGCAAAGGCAGCUCACUACUCAAUCAUUGACUCUGAGGCACGAAAGCGUGGGGAUCAAACAGG